rnacentral:rRNA from 1 species
GUUUGAUCCUGGCUCAGAUUGAACGCUGGCGGCAUGCUUUACACAUGCAAGUCGAACGGUAACGCGGGGGCAACCCUGGCGACGAGUGGCGAACGGGUGAGUAACACAUCGGAACGUGUCCAGUUGUGGGGGAUAACCCAUCGAAAGGUGGGCUAAUACCGCAUGAUCUGGCAACAGCAAAGCGGGGGACUGGUAACGGCCUCGCGCGAUUGGAGCGGCCGAUGUCCGAUUAGCUAGUUGGUGGGGUAAAGGCCUACCAAGGCGACGAUCGGUAGCUGGUCUGAGAGGAUGAUCAGCCACACUGGGACUGAGACACGGCCCAGACUCCUACGGGAGGCAGCAGUGGGGAAUUUUGGACAAUGGGGGCAACCCUGAUCCAGCCAUGCCGCGUGAGUGAAGAAGGCCUUCGGGUUGUAAAGCUCUUUCGGUGGGAACGAAACGGUUACGGUUAAUACCUGUGACUAAUGACGGUACUCACGGAAGAAGCACCGGCUAACUACGUGCCAGCAGCCGCGGUAAUACGUAGGGUGCGAGCGUUAAUCGGAAUUACUGGGCGUAAAGCGUGCGCAGGCGGUUACUUAAGUCAGGUGUGAAAGCCCUGGGCUUAACCUAGGAAUUGCGCUUGAGACUGGGUAGCUUGGAGUGUGGCAGAGGGAGGUGGAAUUCCACGUGUAGCAGUGAAAUGCGUAGAGAUGUGGAGGAACACCGAUGGCGAAGGCAGCCUCCUGGGCCAGCACUGACGCUCAUGCACGAAAGCGUGGGGAGCAAACAGGAUUAGAUACCCUGGUAGUCCACGCCCUAAACGAUGUCAACUGGUUGUUGGUGGGGUUAAACCCAUUAGUAACGAAGCUAACGCGUGAAGUUGACCGCCUGGGGAGUACGGCCGCAAGGUUAAAACUCAAAGGAAUUGACGGGGACCCGCACAAGCGGUGGAUGAUGUGGAUCAAUUCGAUACACGCGAAGAUCUUACCUACUCUUGACAUGCCAGGAGCCGGAUGAGAGUUCGGUGUGCCCGAAAGGAACCUGGACACAGUGCUGCAUGCUGUCGUCAGCUCGUGUCGUGAAAUGUUGGUUAAGUCCCGCCAACGAGCGCCACCCUUGUCACUAGUUGCUACGCAAGGGCAACUCUAUUGGGAC